UAGUGCUCCAUUUGCUCUCCCUUGUUAAUCAAGUCCAGGAGCCCAGACUGUGGAAUGGUGAUGCUCAUAGUAUAUUCUGAAAUCAAUGUGCCAGGUGUUUACUGGUGGUAAAGGGGAUUACUAACAAAGGAAGCAGCAAUGAAUAAUAUCGUGCUGACUUGGAUGCAGAUAAACAAGCAAGGACAACAGUGCAUAGAAAAGUAAGCAGCUAAACUUCCCUCUAUCCAGAAGCCAAGGCAACAUAAACCAGUGUCAAGCAUAUUGGCAAGAUUCCUG